UGGCCAUUCAGAGAAGGACUACAGUUGGCGCAGAAAGAGUGUUCCAGUUCUGCCCUCUACAGUUCGGUAGAGGCGCGGUUACAGGGCUGUUCAGGAGUUACUGGAGAAGGACUACAGUUGGUGCAGAAAGAGUGUUCCAGUUCUGCCCUCUACAGUUCGGUGGAGGCGUGGUUGCAGGCCAGUUCAGGAGUUAUUGGAGAAGGACUACAGUUGGUGCAGAAAGAGUGUUCCAGUUCUGCCCUCUACAGUUCGGUAAAGGCGUGGUUACAGUGAUAACAUCAUGCCACGCCGGGGGAAGAGAUCUGAGGCUGCAAAGCAACGCUGGGCUAAGUUGGACCUUUCAGACCCUCGG